GGCGUUGCUCUGGCAACGUCGCGGCCUUCGCCCCGUCGUGAGGAGGGCGCGCCUCCCCUCAGCCCCGCCAAAACCAGGGGGGAGGGUCCUGUUGCUUUUUAUUGAAAGCCUCAAUUAAAAUUAACCUGGGAGGGCAAUAAUAAGGAAGGAAAUGAAGGGAUGGAUGUAAAAGUAUAUGUGUGCUGCGGUGUCAUUACUUGUCGGUGGCGAUUAAGGGAGUCCUGCUGUCUGGAAAUUGGCUUUGCCUCCCAGGAAACCUGAGGAAAGCGCUGCCCUAGUUAAUGCUGCUGUAGCUCUUGGGAGAGGCUUGGAAUGAAAAAGAUACAGGGAAGUAGCUGAAAACACUGGCUGCAUCUCUGUGUCUCUUGGAGGUCACUUGCUGAUUUAUCUCCAAUUCACAGCUCAUUAGAAGGUGUGUAACUCUUCAGAGAUGUUGUUAUUUAACAGCUGAAAGUUAUUAUGUAAAAUGGGUAAAUUGGAGUCUUUAAAGGAGCUGCCAACUUACAUUUGCCUGAGUUCCUUCAGCACUGGAGAGGAGAGGAAGAAUUCCAGACACGUCAUCCUGAUUUCACAAGUCUGCAGAGAUCUCCAGAGUGGACUUACCCAUCUGUGUGAGGAGGAAGGCUAUACAUGCAAAUUCAGAUUCCUGAUGCAUUCCCACUAACUCUGUCCUUCUGUUCUGGCAGAAUGAGGAAAAACUGGGCUGCCAAAAGGUGAAGACAAGCACUUUAUCUGCAAGAGAAUAUUCAUUUAUAGGACUUCACUGGUGACAUAGGUUUGAAAUGGGAAAUGGGCUUAAAGCCUUCUUCAGGAGAGAUUUACUCACAGUUUUCUGCAGUGUGAUUGCUUUGAGUCUGUAAGGUCAUUGUGGUUGAAGGCAUGAAGAUGAGGACAUCAAAGCCUUUGCCCACCUAUGACAAUUACUCUGGAGACAAACACAGCUCAGAAGACAAAUGUUAUGAGCUACCUGUAAGUUCUGGUUCACAAAACAGAUGAGAAUCCAGAGAUACUCCUGAACUUGGAAAUGAAAUUUAUUCUCAAGGUGGAGCCUCAUCUUGAGCAGCCUUGGGAGGGCCAAAGGUGGUUCCUUUUCCAGUUCCCUGCCUGGAUUUUAGAAGAUACCAUUUUUUAACAUCUAAACAAGGAAAUCACAGCAAUUUCCAUGGGAAGAAUCACAGAGAUGGCAGGGCUUCCCCCCAAAACACUGCCUGUGUAAUUGCUGAAGACAUUCCAAGCCACUCUAACGAAGUGCUGUCUGCCAGUCAUUAUGUUCUCCUUGGAGGACCAUCUGUUGCACUUCAAAUAUGUAAAGGUCUCUAUCAUUUAUUGCUCCAAACAAAUCCAGGCCUUUGUCUGAGGAGCUGGAGCUCCUGAAUGGAUUCUAAAGGUGGUUUCAGUCACAAAGGGCAGGGUAUUCCCUUAGGUUGUAGUCCUUCAGCUCCAAUUUCAGAGCACAAAUAUACUGGUUAAACCAAUAUCUGAAUAUUUUCAAUUUAUUUAGAAAUGAAUUAUGAACAAUAACAACUCAAAGUAUCUGAAAUAUGUUUUCAUUCAGCCAGGAGGACAUUGGAAGAUUUUUGCAUCUGGUGAACAAAUCUUUCCAUUGUAGUGGUAUCCAGAUUUGAUAUAUACUGAGAUUGGAAUGAAAAUUACCUUAUUUUAACUAAAUUAAUUAGUUUAUCUGUGUCUGAAAAUAGUGAUUCAAAGGAAUGGUAAAAAAUAGAGUCAGCAGCUUAAAAUGCUCAAGCCUUCCUUAGCACAUGUCCUUUACAAGGAUGUAAUACUUGGUUGUGCAGUCAUUAUUUAUAGGUUAAUUAGGAUCCCUUCCACGAGUAAAAUGAGCAAGAUCAAGCAUUAAAAUAUGCUGGGUUUUGUUUUUCCUGCUGAGAUUUUAAAGAGGCUGUACAAUCAGAAAAUGUGAGCAUUGUAUUUUCACAGCAGAAAAGUUCUGCUCAGAGGUUUCCAGCCACAGAAAUCCAUAACAAUUUCUGUCUGAUUAGGGAGUGGUCCUGUCUUCAUCCCUUUCUUCUCUUCCCCUUCUCCUUCCUGCUCAGCAGCUAAUGUUCUGGUCAGAAGUAAUAAUAUGUUAGAUCUUGAAUGUCAGUAGCCCCAGAGAUUCUGACAAGACUAUUCAUGUGCAUUCAUACGUCUUAACCAAAGCUGACACUAAAGAGAGCAAGAAUUCUCAUAUUCCUCUUUUUAUUGCUGUGCAUUAAACUCAAAUCUUCUCUUGGAGACCUCUGCUAGAAAUGACAAAUCCACCAUUUGAAAAAGGCAUUUUAGCAAGGUCUAAACAAAGCAGCUGGACAUCAAUCUGGCACAGGGCAGAGGCUCCUGUGAGAGCUCACAGUGCAAAGCUGAACUCUGCUUUACACCUUCCCAGUGCUGUGAGAGAAAUACUAAUGGGAAAUAACCAUUCCUCCUAAUCUUUCUAAAUUUCAAUUAAAAAGUGAUUGUAAUUUUUUUUUUUUUAACUAUAGGAUAUGUCCUUAUUGGGAUAUUUGGAUUCUGGUAACUCAAGGUUGUUUUCUGAGAAACACACACUGAGUGAAUAUUCUGCUCUACCUUUUACUCUGGACAUAUUUUACACACACUUGUAGGAUGGUGUGCUGCACAUGUUUGGGUAAUUUUGCAGGGAUCUGAUUAAGUUGUUAAAGCCAGGUAGGCAAUUUUGCCAGCAGUGAUAUUUUUAAUCUUCUUUUUUAAAAUGGUUUGGUAGUAGUGACUAAGGCAGACUAGGUGGCUCUGGGCAGCUCGCCAUUUUUAGGUAGUUUAAUUUGUUAAAAAUUAUCUUUCUUCCCACCCAAAUCCCCUUGAAACCAUUUGGAGAAGAGAACUGUUGAACAGUUGCCAGUAAUAAGUCCUGCUGAGACCUCUGUAUCCUCCUGACAGAAAUGUUGGUGCCAACUGGAGACUGACUGGCACGAGUUUGAACUCUACACUACUUGAUAUAUUUGCUUCACAUGCACCAAUUACAAUAAUUACCACCUCUGCAGCUGAAGUUUAAGCACUCACUCUGCACUCCAUACCUCAGGUUGUUGGCAGUAUGUUCAAUCCUAUAAUCUCAAUUUUCUUGGAAUAAUUAAGUAGAAAAUAAAUACUUCAAAAAAUUAGGAGACAGUCUGAAUGGAAAUCAGAGGCUGAAUAAUAGAGUUGUUUGUCAUGUUGCUAUUGUUAAGCUGCAUUUAUUUCUAUUGAAUCUUUAUUUCUAAAAGGCAGCAUCUUCUUUUGCCUGCAGAGAUUCACCAGGAGAUGCUGUAAUCCAUUGACUUUUAUAUUCAGCACUAGAGUGUCUCUUGAUGUGAAGGAAAAAGCAACAUGAAUCCUACUUUGUUUAGAUGUUUAAAAAAUAGAACUAUUCCUUUCAAAAUAAAUGCUUUUGACUAGAAGAGGAAAUCACCCAUCCCUUCCUCCUUUUGGCUGGAUAUUUCCAUGUAAGAUUGUAGGGAUUUAAUUCCAGAACUGGUUUUAACUGCCCAGUUCCUGACAAUCCCACUGGUUUAAAUCUGAUGCAAUGGGAACCAUCUCUCCCCCACCCCUGUUGUCUUUCCAAGAGACUGGUUAAUUUUUAAAUUGGAUCAGCAACAUUUUUUUUAGAAAACCUGGUAAAGUUUCUAUUACACAAAGAUAAGCCUUAGACUGAGCACAAACUGG